UAAACGGCCGCGGUAGCCUAACCGUGCGAAGGUAGCGUAAUUCAUUGCCUUAUAAUUUAAGGCCAGUCAAUGGUCGAACGUGAGCUCAGCUGUCUCCCGGCCACCACUCGCGGAACUUAACUUUUAAGUGAAAAGGCUUAAAUAAACCUGAAAGACGAGAAGACCCUGCAGAAUUUCAUUUCACGGGGCCAAGCCGGGCCACCCCAGCUUGUCCCUCCAAUUUAAUUGGGGCAAUUAGAGAAACAAAAACUUCUCUCAAGCAAUUAACGAAAGGAAAAAUUACCUCAGGGAUAACAGCGUAAUGCUAUUGGAGAGUACACAUUAAUAAUAGCGAUUGCGACCUCGAUGUUGGAUUAAAAACCACACGAAAGUGUAGCAGCUUUCUAUGCGGGCCUGUUCGGCCCUUUAAAUUUUAC
rnacentral:rRNA from 1 species